GAUUAAGAACGUAGCGAAAUGCGAUAACUAAUGUGAAUUGCAGAAUUCCGUGAAUCAUCGAGUCUUUGAACGCACAUUGCGCCCCCUGGUAUUCCGGGGGGCAUGCCUGUCCGAGCGUCAUUGCUGCCCAUCAAGCACGGCUUGUGUGUUGGGUCCUCGUCCCCCCCGGGGGACGUGCCCGAAAGGCAGCGGCGGCACCGCGUCCGGUCCUCGAGCGUAUGGGGCUUUGUCACCCGCUCUGCAGGCCCGGCCGGCGCUGGCCGACGCGAAAGCAACCAUUUUUUCUCCAGGUUGACCUCGGAUCAGGUAGGGAUACCCGCUGAACUUAAGCAUAUCAAUAAGCGGAGGA
rnacentral:misc_RNA from 1 species